GUGAAUGUGAAUUGGGCACGUGCUGUGUUUAGCCCCCUUGCUGGAAGCUGUGAUGAGACUGGAGGGUUAAGAUGUGACAUCUUUUCUUGUGGCCCAGGAGGAAGUUGAGAUGUGCAGAAACAAUCACAUCAUAAAGGAGACUGGGUCGGUGUCUCAUGAGAGGUACAAAUAGAAAAGGAGACCCACAUGGGUCAGUGUCUGGAGACAGGAAUGGUAGAUCCUAGUAUACUGCCUGGCACGGGACAGCUGCUUGAUGCACUUUAUUUUUGAGACAGUCUCACUCUGUCACUCAGUCUGGAGUGCAGUGGCAUGACCUCAGCUCACUGCAAC
rnacentral:lncRNA from 1 species